rnacentral:rRNA from 1 species
GACGAACCGUGCAAACGUUGUUCGGAAUCACUGGGCUUAAAGGGCGCGUAGGCGGGCAAGCAAGUCGAAGGUGAAAUCCCACGGCUCAACCGUGGAAGUGCCCCCAAUACUGCUUGUCUUGAGGGAGAUAGGGGCGUGCGGAACUUCCGGUGGAGCGGUGAAAUGCGUAGAUAUCGGAAGGAACACCGGUGGCGAAAGCGGCGCGCUGGAUCUCUUCUGACGCUGAGGCGCGAAAGCCAGGGGAGCAAACGGG